rnacentral:rRNA from 1 species
UACGAAGGGGGCUAGCGUUGCUCGGAAUUACUGGGCGUAAAGCGCACGUAGGCGGCUUCUUAAGUCGGUGGUGAAAUCCUGGAGCUCAACUCCAGAACUGCCUUCGAUACUGGGAGCUCGAGUCCGGGAGAGGUGAGUGGAACUGCGAGUGUAGAGGUGAAAUUCGUAGAUAUUCGCAAGAACACCAGUGGCGAAGGCGGCUCACUGGCCCGGUACUGACGCUGAGGUGCGAAAGCGUGGGGAUCAAACAGG